UACGUAGGCAGCAAGCGUUGUUCGGAGUUACUGGGCGUAAAGGGUGUGUAGGCGGUUCUUUAAGUUUGGUGUGAAAUCUCCCGGCUCAACUGGGAGGGUGCGCCGAAUACUGAGGGACUAGAGUACGGGAGAGGAAAGUGGAAUUCCUGGUGUAGCGGUGAAAUGCGUAGAGAUCAGGAAGAACAUCGGUGGCGAAGGCGCUCUGCUGGACCAUAACUGACACUCAGGGACGAAAGCUAGGGGAGCGAAUGGG
rnacentral:rRNA from 1 species